UCUCCGUUGGUGAACCAGCGGAGGGAUCAUUACCGAGUUUACAACUCCCAAACCCCUAUGUGAACGUUACCAAACUGUUGCCUCGGCGGGAAAUUCAUGCCCCGGGCGCGACGCAGCCCCGGACCAAGGCGCCCGCCGGAGGACCAACCAAAACUCUUUUGUAUGUCCCUCGCGGACUUUUAUAAUUCUGAACCAUCUCGGCGCCCCUAGCGGGCGUUUCGAAAAUGAAUCAAAACUUUCAACAACGGAUCUCUUGGUUCUG
rnacentral:misc_RNA from 1 species